UAAUCACCAAAUUUCCUUGUCAAUUCCGUUAUAAUGAACUCUCCUCAGGGGUUUGAAAAUAAGCAUCUUUCAGUCUUUUCAUGGGUAGCUAUUGUUUUACUCUGAAGCUUUUACAAAAAUGUUCCCACAAAAGUACCUGAGCUUCAAGAAGAUUCAUGGAGAGGACUUUUGACAAAUAUAGGUUUGUGAUACCUUGAAGAGCAUAAAACCAAACUAGGACACAACUGAAGGCACUGGCUAUAUUACCAAGACUUUGACUGAAAUGGUAUUUCAGAUAAAUCUGACGGCCAGUCCUUGACUUGGCUUCCUGGCCUCAGAGGCAAUGACAGUUCAAUCUGAGACGCCUUAUGAAAAGUUCCAGCAAAUCAGUCUUAAAAAGAACUUACAAGGUCAAUCAAUAUUUCUGCUACAUGUGUGUGAGUAACCAGGCCAAGUUUAAUGCAAACGAAUUAGUUUUAUCUUUAGUAAAAAAAAAAAAAUGGGGAUACUUGUAGAGAGAUGGGGCAUGUAGAGAGAAAAAAUAUGUUUGCACCUUUUUCUACAUUAGAUUCUAGCCCUGUUAAUUGUCUUUGAGGUUUGGCUAUAUACCUGUAAACUAGGCUGGAUCCUGAAUUCUCCUGGUUUCCUCAAAUAUCUGGCUACAACUCUUCAACCUAUCAUUUCCAAUUUUGUCCCACUCAUCUGAUUUGGAAUCACUAAAGAACGAAGACUGCUCCUAAAUCUCCUUGGAAGGGACUAUAAGAAGUCUUUCCCAUUACCGGGAUGGCAGCCAAACUUCAGGGACUUGAGCCUUGACUGCACAUCGGACAUCUGAAGGAGGUUUUUCCCUGACAUCCAGUCCUGUGCAAGUCCUGGAGGCUUCCAAAUCAAAUUGACGAGGAAGACAGUGAUCUGACAUCAAGAGGGGCAAGACCACUAAAUAUGGAAAACCUGACUCCCAAUCGAUGCUUUGAAAGAAAGAUCUUGAUCAAAAGAGGGAAAUGUGAAACUGAAUAGAGGAAACCUCAUUUAAAAGGGAGUCAGGAGACCAGAAGGGGAGCUCUCAUGUUGAAUCAUUUGUCCCUCGCAGACCCCAGCAGGAAGAAAUGUACCUUGCAAUACCAGCAGGAAGAAGCCUACUUUACCACCUCAGAAGGAGGAAGGGAGAAUUUCUCCUGACCUAGCAACAAGCUCAGCCAAUAAGAAAAUACCACAGCUCAGCCAAUGAGAAACCAUCACUACCCUGAACUCUCAUUUUCCUCCAAUGGAUUUCAUUCAUGCAGCCCCUCCCAACUUCCUUCUCUUCUCUACAAAGUAACCUUCUUUUCCUUUGAUUUUUCAACUGUGCUAUGGUUUGCCAUAGCUUUUGUGUCCUGAACUGCAAUUUCUCUGCUAUUCCUCAAUAAACUUAUUC